AAUGCCUUCCUUUCCAAACAGGUGUGUUAUUCUGGGAGAUCAUCAGGACUUCUGGGUAUUUGGAGGUAUUGACCUAACCAGAGGAACUGCUGAUUAAUAAGAAGUUGUCCAGAAUUUUGGAAAACUGAUUAGUAGAGGCUGGAGACUGAGAAGAACUGCCAUUUUUGCCAGCUGGGAUGCAGAAAAAUUUGGACUUCUGGGUUCCACAAAUGGGCUGAGCUCUGUCAUAAUGGAAACUCUGCAGCAGAAUCAGCUGUCAUCUAUCCCAUGUGGCCAAGUGCAGAGGCAAUUAUACUCUCAGAGUUGACUGUACACCCCUUCUUUUCCAGUUGGUAUAUAAACUGACAAAAGAGUGGAAGAAUCAGACAUCAUUCAUCUGGAGAAAUGCUAUUGGUUGCUGAGGGCUCAAUCCCGAACUGGAAGAUUUGAUUUAGAGACAUUUGGCCCAUUGGCUUCACCACCAAUUCGUCCAUCUCUGAGUGAAGGUGGGAAUCCUUCUAUUUUCUUCAAAUGUUCUUUGCUAAACACGUGAGCCUUGUUCCACCUUUGAAGCCUUGUGUAAGUUGGUUUACCUUCCUGCACCUGAAUAUCCUCAUAUAUAAAAUCAGUUUGACCAAGACAAUCAUUAUGAAACUGUGCUCCAGUGCGGUGCCUCAGCAUCUGGUGCAGGGUCAGGGUGGUGGACACUGAAUAGGCAAAGCUCUAGCUUCCACACAUGACCCCACCUCUUCCUCAGCUGAGGAGUGUCUAUUGUAUUUCUUUUAAAUAGAAGAAGGUUCCACUGCUGUAUCCUUCCCCCACCCUUAAAAAAUUAAGAAACCACUGGACUAUUCCAUCUCUAAAGUCCCCACUUAGCUCUAAACUUUUCACUACUAUAUAUAUAUAUAUAU